CUCUUAUCUGAACUUUUCUAAGUUGGAAGGAGGAGUUUGCAGUAACAACUCAGUUUAUGCAUCCUUCAGCCUGCAGGACUUACCAUUUUUAUCUAAAAUUAUAUUGCUGAAGAGAGAAAGGUUAACUCCACAGAGGAGUGGCUUGGCACACAUCAUCUUAAUCAAGGGAUCAAAGUGAACUUCAUCAGCAAUGGGACAAAUCAAAAUCAUGUGCUUGAUAGGAUGCAAUGAAAAGAACACAGUGUUGCUUCUGGGAUAAUCUUGCCAAAGAUACAUAACCUGAAUCUAAUCAUGAGAAAAUAUCAGACAAAUGCCAGUUUGCCAUAUUGAGGGACUUUCUAUGAAAUAACUCUGCUAUAAUCUUCAGAAGUGUAAAGAUCAUGAAAGUCAAAGAAAAAUUGAAGAACUGUUCCAGAUGAUGGAGACUGAAAACAUGACAACUAAAUGUACUAUGUGAUUCUGAACUAAACUCUUUUGCUCUUAAAACCCCUUUGAAAUACGUAAUAAAAACUCAAGUAGGGUUUGAGAAUUACAUGAUGAUCAAACUUUAAUAUAAUUUCCUGAUUAUGAUGGUUAUAUUGUAGUUAUGUAAACAAAUGCCCUUAUAUGUAAAAAAUAUACCCUAAAGUAUUCAAGGAUGAGGAAGUAUAUCAAAUUGGCAACUUACUCUCAAAUGUAUCAGAAAAGAAAAAAGAAAGGUAUUUGGACUGUACUUGUAACUUUUCAUAAGUUUGAGUUAGCUUCAAAAUGAACAAAUAAAAUAAACACAAAAACCA